rnacentral:rRNA from 1 species
AGAGUUUGAUCCUGGCUCAGGACGAACGCUGGCGGCGUGCCUAAUACAUGCAAGUCGAGCGAGCGGAACUAACAGAUUUACUUCGGUAAUGACGUUAGGAAAGCGAGCGGCGGAUGGGUGAGUAACACGUGGGGAACCUGCCCCAUAGUCUGGGAUACCACUUGGAAACAGGUGCUAAUACCGGAUAAGAAAGCAGAUCGCAUGAUCAGCUUUUAAAAGGCGGCGUAAGCUGUCGCUAUGGGAUGGCCCCGCGGUGCAUUAGCUAGUUGGUAAGGUAAAGGCUUACCAAGGCGAUGAUGCAUAGCCGAGUUGAGAGACUGAUCGGCCACAUUGGGACUGAGACACGGCCCAAACUCCUACGGGAGGCAGCAGUAGGGAAUCUUCCACAAUGGACGCAAGUCUGAUGGAGCAACGCCGCGUGAGUGAAGAAGGUUUUCGGAUCGUAAAGCUCUGUUGUUGGUGAAGAAGGAUAGAGGUAGUAACUGGCCUUUAUUUGACGGUAAUCAACCAGAAAGUCACGGCUAACUACGUGCCAGCAGCCGCGGUAAUACGUAGGUGGCAAGCGUUGUCCGGAUUUAUUGGGCGUAAAGCGAGCGCAGGCGGAAGAAUAAGUCUGAUGUGAAAGCCCUCGGCUUAACCGAGGAACUGCAUCGGAAACUGUUUUUCUUGAGUGCAGAAGAGGAGAGUGGAACUCCAUGUGUAGCGGUGGAAUGCGUAGAUAUAUGGAAGAACACCAGUGGCGAAGGCGGCUCUCUGGUCUGCAACUGACGCUGAGGCUCGAAAGCAUGGGUAGCGAACAGGAUUAGAUACCCUGGUAGUCCAUGCCGUAAACGAUGAGUGCUAAGUGUUGGGAGGUUUCCGCCUCUCAGUGCUGCAGCUAACGCAUUAAGCACUCCGCCUGGGGAGUACGACCGCAAGGUUGAAACUCAAAGGAAUUGACGGGGGCCCGCACAAGCGGUGGAGCAUGUGGUUUAAUUCGAAGCAACGCGAAGAACCUUACCAAGUCUUGACAUCCUCUGGCGAGUACAGAAAUGUGCUUUUCCUUCGGGACAGAGAGACAGGUGGUGCAUGGUUGUCGUCAGCUCGUGUCGUGAGAUGUUGGGUUAAGUCCCGCAACGAGCGCAACCCUUGUUAUUAGUUGCCAGCAUUAAGUUGGGCACUCUAAUGAGACUGCCGGUGACAAACCGGAGGAAGGUGGGGAUGACGUCAAGUCAUCAUGCCCCUUAUGACCUGGGCUACACACGUGCUACAAUGGGCAGUACAACGAGAAGCGAGCCUGCGAAGGCAAGCGAAUCUCUGAAAGCUGUUCUCAGUUCGGACUGCAGUCUGCAACUCGACUGCACGAAGCUGGAAUCGCUAGUAAUCGCGGAUCAGCACGCCGCGGUGAAUACGUUCCCGGGCCUUGUACACACCGCCCGUCACACCAUGGGAGUCUGCAAUGCCCAAAGCCGGUGGCCUAACCUUCGGGAAGGAGCCGUCUAAGGCAGGGCAGAUGACUGGGGUGAAGUCGUAACAAGGUAGCCGUAGGAGAACCUGCGGCUG